AUACGUAGGGGGCGAGCGUUAUCCGGAUUUACUGGGUGUAAAGGGAGCGUAGGUGGCGAAGCAAGUCAGAUGUGAAAGCCCGGGGCUUAACUCCGGGACUGCAUUUGAAACUGUUUUGCUAGAGUGCAGGAGAGGUAAGUGGAAUUCCUAGUGUAGCGGUGAAAUGCGUAGAUAUUAGGAGGAACACCAGUGGCGAAGGCGGCUUACUGGACUGUAACUGACACUGAGGCUCGAAAGCGUGGGGAGCAAACAGGAUUAGAUACCCUGGUAGUCCACGCUGUAAACGAUGAAUACUAGGUGUUGGGGAGCGUAAGCUCUUCGGUGCCGUCGCAAACGCAUUAAGUAUUCCACCUGGGGAGUACGUUCGCAAGAAUGAA
rnacentral:rRNA from 1 species